CUGCAAGUCUCCUGGUAAGUCAAUGGGGGCUGUAAGCCUGUAACCCAGAAAUUUCCAUUCAGCUUCAUGAUGUAUAUUAUAUAUUCUUCAUCGUUUCUGUUGUGAAGUACGAAAUAAUUGACCUUUGCAUUAUUGAUUGAUAUCGAGUGUUCAUCUUCAUUGGUUUAUUGGGUUCCAUUUUCCAAAGCUAAGAAUCUUAGUUUCCAGAUUUUCAAGUACCCAAAACCUUGUGUGUGUGUUUGAUUUUGCUGUCAUCAAUGGUUGGUGCGGAUGAUGUUUUUGGUGGGGCUGGUGGAGGAAUACUGUUCACUGUUCUCUAUGAUCUGCUGAAAGAGCUCAUCAGCAAGUCUAUGAUAUAUGGCCCUCUUCUCAAAGAUAUUCUGUCUGCCUUGGACUCAUAUAGACCACUGAUCAAGCAAAUAGAAGCAAGCAAUGAGGAACUGGGUUAUCGAAAGGAGGAAGUAGAAAAGUUCAAAGCACAUAUGAAGGAGGGGAUAAAGAUUGUUAAAAAGUGCUCCAAGGUUCGUAAGUGGAACAUCUACAAGAAGUACAAGUACGCCAACAAGCUUCUUGGAUGGGAUAGUGCUCUUGAAAGACUGUUGAAGGUACUGCAGGCGCAGGGAGUAAGGGAUGGGAAGGAGACCUUGCUUUCGGUAAAGAGGAUAGAGAGGACGGUCACUGAGAUUGAAAUGAAUAGUAGCAUUUUAGAGUCAGGGGUUGAGAUUUUAGCAACAACCAGUAGGCAUAUGGAGAAGGCGCUCAGUGGAGUUGAAAUGAGAAGUGGAGAUGUAUUGGAGGGGAUGUACCGGAUUGAAGACCGAGUUGAAACAAAGUCUUGCAGUAUGGAGGCAGGGAUCAAGAGGAUUGAAGACCGACUUGAUACACAAAAUGGAGCUAAAGGUGGAGCUUGGGGUGUUGUGCCUGAACUCACACAGUUUACAGUUGGACUGGAUGAGCCUUUGAAGGAGUUGAAGAUGAAACUUCUUAAGGAUGGAGUCUCGAUGCUUGUGGUCACUGCUCCCGGAGGAUGUGGGAAAACUACAUUGGCAACAAAGUUUUGUCAAGACGGGCAAGUCAAAGAUAAAUUCAAGAACAACAUCUUCUUUGUCACUGUGUCAAACACACCAAACCUAGGCCUUAUUGUGCAAGAGUUACACAAUCGCAAGGGUUCCCAGGUGCCUACUUUCCAAGACGAAGUAACUGCAGUCAAGUGGCUGCAAACAUUUCUGAAGGAACAAGGAAGAAACCCUUUACUAUUAGUCUUGGAUGAUGUUUGGUCUGGAUCAGAAUCCCUACUAGACAAGUUUCAGUUCGAGAUGCAAGAUUACAAGAUGCCAGAUUAUAAGAUUUUGGUCACAUCAAGAUCUGAAUUUCCGAGAUUUGGUUCUUCAUAUCAUUUGCAAUCAUUGGAUUAUGACAAUGCCAUGAAACUCUUUUGUCAUUCAGCAUCUUUGGGAGAUAAAAGCGCGCAUAUUCCAGCAUCCCUCUCGAGACGGAUAGUAAAGGGCUGUAAGGGAUAUCCACUUGCGAUCACGGUGGCAGGAGGAUCACUUUGCGGACAAAGUAUAGAGAUCUGGAAACAAAGACUAAUUGAAUGGUCCAAAGGGUCUUCAAUUCUUGAUUCUGAGACCAAAUUGCUUCUUCGCCUCCAAAGCAGCAUAGUUGCCUCAGAUAAAGAAAUGGCUAUCAUCAGGGAGUGUUUUCUAGACCUUGGUUCAUUUCCUGAAGACCAAAGAAUCCCAGUUACUGCCCUCAUUGAUAUAUGGACAGAGUUAUAUGAGCAGCUAGAUGAAGAUACUCUGUGUGUUGCAUACCUUCAGAGGCUCACCAACCGAAGUCUGGCUAAUCUUGUAGUCACACGGAAGGACCAGACGCAGGGGGAUGGAUACUACAGUGAACAUUUUGUUACUCAGCAUGAUCUUCUUCGAGAGUUGGCUAUCUAUGAGACAAGACAACAAGCCCCAAGAGAUAGAGAAAGACUGAUUAUAAACAUAGUUGAUGACAAUCUUCCUAAAUGGUGGAUGGAAAAGAAGUAUGAAUCCAUGAAAGCUCGCCUAUUAUCCAUCUCAACUGAUGUAAAUUUCUCAUCAAAAUGGCACCACAUGGAACUACCAGAAGCUGAAGUUCUAGUCUUGAAUUUUCAUACGAAGAAUUAUGCCUUACCCAAAUUUAUGGACACUAUGCAUAAAUUGAAGGUACUUGUUGUCACAAAUUAUGGUUUCUCGCCUGCUGAGCUAAGUAAUAUCGCACUACUGGGUUCAUUAUCUCACCUAAAGAGAAUUAGAUUGGAGCGUGUCUCAAUACCUUCAAUAACCAAGAACCCCAUACAGUUGGUGUGUCUGAAGAAGAUAUCUCUAUUCAUGUGUACCAUCGGAAAAGCUUUCAGCGACGGUUCCAUCCAGAUUUCAUGCGCAUUUCCAAAUCUGGAGGAAAUUAGCAUUGACUAUUGUAAUGAUUUGGUGGAAAUGCCUGCCGACCUCUGUGAUCUAAUUCAUCUAAGGAAGCUCAGUGUCACCAACUCACAUAAGCUUCUUUCCUUACCUGAAGAGAUUGGAAAACUGCAAAAUUUGGAACUGCUGAGACUAAGGUCAUGUACAGACUUGGAACAGUUUCCAGGCUCAAGCAGGAACCUAAAGAAGUUGAUCUUUCUGGACAUUUCUUAUUGCUUUAGCAUCAAGGAGUUGCCUGAAGAUAUUGGUGAAAUGAGCAGCUUAAGACAGCUCAACAUGAGAGAAUGCUCCAGAUUGCAAGAAGUGCCUGUAUCAGUGUUAGAUCUUGAGCAUUUGGAGGAAGUGAUAUGUGAUGAUGAGACAAAAAAUUUAUGGGAAGCCUUACCUCUCAAAAACACAAUAAUAGUGGUGGAAAAAGAAAAUAUCAACCUAAAUUGGCUCCAUAAGCUUCACUUUUGAGAGCUGUCUUUACCUAACAUACACAGCGGAUCUCUGUAUGUAUGACUCAUGAUUUCCUUCUGUCAUUUCUUUCUCCUUUUUAGAUUUGGUUCUCUAUUCUUGUAAAUGCAUAGUAUACAGUACGUAUAGCAAUGUAGUAGGCUACUUUCUUUGAGACUUUUUAUGAUACGAGUUUCCAGUUCCCACUUCCCAGUAGCGAAUUCCAUCAGCAGUUCAAUUUAGCAUCAUUGGUGUUUGAUAGAUCAUCUAUAAAAUCUUCAUCUCUGCGUGAUCACACCAAUUUGUAGAACUGUUUCUAUAAAAAUCUAUGCUAGUGUUAGUUAUUAGUACUAUAAAACAGCAGUAACAUGUCCUCUGGUAAUUAGUAUUUGUGUAUGCUUGAUUGAAAUGGGAAGAAUCCAUUAAACUAGGGCCAGCUUACAACACAGAGGGCUUAAUUUACUCUCAACAUUUUGCAGUCAUUUUUAUGGAGACUGAGAGAGCUUACUGUCCGUUAUUUC